UUCCGGUUGAUCCUGCCGGACCUGACUGCUAUCGGAUUGAUACUAAGCCAUGCGAGUCUUUGUAGUAAUACAAGGCAUACGGCUCAGUAACGCGUAGUCAACCUACCCUAUGGACAAGAAUAAUCUCGGGAAACUGAGCAUAAUUCUUGAUAGAUCAUAAUGCCUGGAAUGGUUUAUGGUUAAAAUGAUUCGUCGCCAUAGGAUGGGACUGCGGCCUAUCAGCUUGUUGGUGAGGUAAUGGCCCACCAAGGCGAUAACAGGUACGGGCUCUGAGAGGAGAAGCCCGGAGAUGGGUACUGAGACAAGGACCCAGGCCCUAUGGGGCGCAGCAGGCGAGAAAACUUUGCAAUGUGCGAAAGCACGACAAGGUUAGUCCGAGUGAUUUCUGCUAAAGAGAUCUUUUGCUAGUUAUAAAACCACUAGUGAAUAAGGGGUGGGCAAGUUCUGGUGUCAGCCGCCGCGGUAAAACCAGCACCUCAAGUGGUCAGGAUGAUUAUUGGGCCUAAAGCAUCCGUAGCCGGCUCUGUAAGUUUUCGGUUAAAUCUAUGCGCUCAACGUAUGGGCUGCCGAAAAUACUGCAGAGAUAGGGAGUGGGAGAGGUAGACGGUACUCGGUAGGAAGGGGUAAAAUCCUUUGAUCUAUCGAUGACCACCUGUGGCGAAGGCGGUCUACCAGAACACGUUCGACGGUGAGGGAUGAAAGCUGGGGGAGCAAACCGGAUUAGAUACCCGGGUAGUCCCAGCUGUAAACGAUGCAGACUCGAUGAUGCAUUGGCAUAUAGCCAGUGCAGUGUCGCAGGGAAGCCGUUAAGUCUGCCGCCUGGGAAGUACGUACGCAAGUAUGAAACUUAAAGGAAUUGGCGGGGGAGCACCACAAGGGGUGAAGCCUGCGGUUCAAUUGGAAUCAACGCCGGA
rnacentral:rRNA from 1 species